CCUACGGGUGGCAGCAGUGAGGAAUAUUGGUCAAUGGCCGGAAGUCUGAACCAGCCAAGCCGCGUGAAGGACGAAGGUGCUAUGCAUUGUAAACUGCUUUUGUCAGGGGACAAACUCAGGCACGAGAGUCUGUCCGAGGGUACCUUAAGAAAAAGCAUCGGCUAACUCCGUGCCAGCAGCCGCGGUAAUACGGAGGAUGCGAGCGUUAUCCGGAUUUAUUGGGUUUAAAGGGUGCGUAGGCGGGCUGUUAAGUUAGCGGUAAAAUCCCGGGGCUCAACCCCGGCGAGCCGUUGAAACUGGCUGUCUUGAGAUGUCGAGAGGUAUGCGGAAUG
rnacentral:rRNA from 1 species